rnacentral:lncRNA from 1 species
AGUUCGCGUGGAAAUCGCGGUCUUUUCCUUAUUGCAGUAAAAGUUCUCAGUGAGGGAACAAUACCAUAUCACACUCGUGAUUAUUUCUCCCCUUUUUCAGGGGCGUAACAUUUUUGGAGGCUCCGCUGAGAUUGCUGCUCAGAUGUCCAGUUUCCACAUCCUGCUCGCUGAAUUCCGAGCCAGCUAAAUCCUCACAUAACAACUCAGGCAGGCUGCAGUGAGGAAAGUGUUGCUGUUCGAGGGGAGCUGGAAGUUGGUGGUUAAGUACGUGUCAGCUGAGGCCAUUGAUCGACCAUCAGAGACAGUAAGGACCAUCUAAUUCAGAGUCAACUCCUGCACAGUAAAAGUUCCUCCUGUUCUGUUAACAUGACGACCGCCUUGGAAGAACUACAGGAAGAGGUAGUAGGAGAAUUGCACACCCUGACUAAAGACAAGUUAGUAGAGAUAUGUGAUUUCCUUGACAUCUCAGGCGAACAGAGAAGAGAUGUUCAAGACAAAUCCCGCAUAUCAUUGAUGACUCACAUUAUGAUGUUCCUUGAAAGAGAGGAAGUUGCAGAGUUAGAAGAUGGCGGCAUGUCGGAAUUGUUGCUACUUAAAGACAAAAUGACAGAUAUGAUCAGUGGCAUAGAUCACAAAACAGGGCAAACUGACCAUGAUAUUGAAACAGCCGGAACACAUCACAGAAUAGAGGAACUGAGAACUGCAACCCCACAAUAAGGGGUGGGAACUGAGCAGAUUACUGCAGCCAAAGCCAGUGAUUCAGCCCCAACCCCAUGCUAAUCUUCAGGUGAGCGUGCCGCUCUCACCCAGUGCACAGCCCAGCUCAUACUGGCGCAAAGGGGCUAUUUCUCCAGGCUCACAGCUACGCAGCUACUUGGAAGGUAAACCCCAGCUAACUCUUCCCACACUUAGAUGUAUCCUGCGUUCCCACUUCCAAGAGAAGAGUGCAACAGAGCUUUACAAACAGCUAGCUUCAGAAGCACAGCAUAGCAAGGAGAUCCCUCAAAGCUUCCUGAUGCGCGUCUUAGAUUUGAGGCAGAAAGUACUGUUUGCAUCCCAGGAGUCAGAAUCAGGGCUUAAGUAUGACCCUGCUCUAGUCCAGCGCAUGUGUUUACACACAGUCCUUACAGGUCUCCAGAGUGACAGUAUCAGGAUAGACAUGCAGCCUCUCCUGCUAGAUAGCGAAACAUCAGAUGAGGUUUUGCUAGAGAAGCUUAACAUUGCUUGUGCUAAUGAGAUGGAAAGACGAAACAAAAAGCGGUUAAAUGUCCCACAGCCUGCUACAACUGUAAGUGUAGUCCAGUUAGAAGAUACGCCAUCUGCAAAGUGUCCUGUGAAGGAAGCCAAAGCUAAGAUACCCGCAGAACUGUUAAGAGUUAGCUGAACUUAAGACAGGUGUAGUUUCUCUAAAAGGUCUCAGUGCAGAGAUUGCUCAGAUUAAGGAGACAUUACAGCAGCCUAUGUUUCAGUCACCGCCUUGUGCCUAUGCCCCACCUCCAGUUAGGAGGCCAGAUAGGGACCCCCAGCCACCUGUUUCCCAGCAGCAGUAUUACAGCAACUACAGUCAGCCCCAAGCACCUGACCCUACGCAGCAUCAAUAUGCACCUAACCUGUAUACCACCCGCUCUGCUCAAGCUCCAAGGAGGUGUUUUGUCUGCCAGCAGGCCAGAACAGAUGCACGCUGCACACACUGCUUCCGUUGUGGGAGUGGAGAACAUUUUCAAGCUGGAUGUAAAAUCCGGGGAGUCAGACAAUCAAGAGAGGCCCCUUUAAACGGGGAAGGGUUACCGCUGAGGGACAAGUGUUAACCGUAGCUACCAAAAAGUCCCAGAAAUGUGCAAAUUGUGCCAGAGAAGAUUCAUUUGAGAACCUGAAACAAUGUUCAUCAUGUAAAGAGACACUGUACUGUUCCAAAGUAUGUCAAAACCAACAUUGGACUAAAGAUAAGAAAAAAUGCACUCACCUGAAAAUUGACUCUACCAGUGAAAGGUUUUCCUGCACAGAGGAAAAUGCCCACUCUUUACCAUCCCUAGCUCAAGGUUGCCACCCCCGUAAGGUCACCUCGCUAGUCGGCAGACAGUGCCUUAUUGAGUGUCACCUGAAUCGCCACCACCUCCAAGCUCUAUGGGACACAGGCUCUCAGGUAUCGGUCAUUGAUGAACGAUGGAAAGAGAAUGGGACUGAAAUGCCGUACCUGGGAUGGAUUGAAGCAACUUUUCGGCUAGCCUCUGAAACUGACCAAACAAAGCAACUGAUCAUCCCAGUGCUGGUAAUGAAAGGCUGUCACCUAUCGCAUCCCAUCAUAGGUUUCAAUGUUAUCGAGCACAUCCUGACAAUGACCGAAAAGACUAAACGAUACAGUACAGUAAAAACAGCUUUCCCAAACCUCAAAAGAAACAAGGUGAGAGUUUUUAUACAGGCUGUUAGCGCAGAACAGACAGAUGAAUACGCAGUGAAAACCAAGAAGGAGAAGGUUGCUGUACCAAAACACAGUAGCAUUCAGAUUGAGUGCCGUGUAGCUUCCCAGCCUUUCAAAGAGGACAUGACAAUGCUUUUCCAGCCAGACCUGAACCCGCAGUGGCCAGACGACCUUGAGUUCUUUGACACACUAGUCAGAGUCAGGAAAGGUGUUUUUCCAGUUAUCAUGCUUGAUGUCUCUAACCCUACUGACCACGACAUUGCCCUGCUAGGACGCACAAUAAUUGGUACAGUACACACCAUUAUGACUGUGUUACCUGCCCAGGUCUUUGAAAAAACUGUCACCCCAGCCACAGUGAAUCACACAAGCGUUCGAACCCCAUGUACUGCUACUGAACAGUGGGAUCCACCAGUAGGUUUAAAUCACCUCACCGAAGAGCAGAGAGAAGUUGUUAGGCAAAUGCUUAGAGAAGAGUGCCACUCCUUCUCCAGAUCAGACAAUGACAUUGGCUGUAUUGAACGAUUGAAAAUGACUAUUUCUCUAAAGGACUCUGAACCAGUCAAGCGCACAUACAUGUCAGUGCCCAGGCCACUGUAUCAGGAGAUGAAGGGUUACCUUUAUGACCUCAUAGCCCAGGGCUGGGUUAGGAAGUCAAACGCUUCAUAUUCUUCACCUGUCGUGUGCGUUCGGAAGAAGGACGGGACCCUCCGGUUGUGUAUAGAUUACAGACACAUCCCGACCGCCAGCCUAUCCCUCGGGUCCAAGACAUCAUGGACAGUUUAGGUGGUAAUUCCUGGUUCUCCCUCUUAGACCAGGGAAAAGCGUAUCACCAGGGGUUCAUCUCUGAAGAAAGCAGACCACUGACAGCAUUUGUGACCCCAUGGGGACUCUAUGAGUGGAUACGUAUGCCAUUCGGCCUCAUGAACGCUCCUGCAGCUUUUCAGCGGUGUAUGGAGGAGUGUUUGGAAGGGUUCCGGGAUAACAUCUGCAUUCCUUACCUAGACGACACGCUAGUUUUCAGUAAAACAUUCGACAGCCAUGUGAAUGAUGUGAGAAAAGUGAUGCAGCGUCUCUGAGAGUAUGGCAUUAAACUCAAACCAAGUAAGUGUGAUCUCUUUAAACCCCAAGUCCGUUAUUUGGGCAGAAUAGUGUCUGCAGAGGGCAGCCGAGUUGACCCAGCUGAUUUUGAAGCAGUAAGAGCAUUGAGAGAAAUCAGACCAGAGACUGUGGGCCAGCUCAGAAAAAUGCUUGGUUUACUCACUUACUACAGACAGUACAUCAAAGACUUUUCUAGGAGGGCCAGCUGCCUGUAUGACCUCCUGAAAGCAGAUUCAGAGAAAUUACCUCACCACCCACGGAAAACAAAAACAAAGAAAGUAAGUAAUGUGGUGCCCUCAAACAAGCCAAUCUUGUGGACUGACCAGCAUCAACAGGCACUUGAACAGCUGAUUGAGUGUUUGCUUCACCCACCAGUCUUAGGUUUCCCUGAUUUCACUCAGCCAUUUGUUGUACACACUGAUGCGUCACACCAAGGCUUGGGAGCAGUUCUUUAUCAAAAGCAAGAUGGGAAGCUUAGGGUCAUUGCUUAUGGCUCUCGAACCUUAACCUGUUAGGGCUAGGGGGCAGUAUUGACACAGCCGGAUAAAAAACGUACCCGAUUUAAUCUGGUUACUACUCCUGCCCAGUAACUAGAAUAUGCAUAUAAUUAUUGGCUUUGGAUGGAAAACACCCUAAAGUUUCUAAAACUGUUUGAAUGGUGUCUGUGAGUAUAACAGAACUCAAAUGGCAGGCCAAAACCUGAGAAGAUUCCAUGCAGGAAGUGGCCUGUCUGACAAGGUGUUUUAUCUUGGCUCUUUUUAUUGAAGACUGAGGAUCUUUGCAAUAACGUGACACUUCCUACGGCUCCCAUAGGCUCUCAGAGCCCGGGAAAAAGCUGAAGGAUAUCGAGGCAGGCUCUGGCUGAAACACUUUAUCGCUUUUGGCAAGUGGCCGCUCAGAGUACUAUGGGCUUAGGCGCGUGCCCGAGUCGACCGAAUGCUUUCUUUUCUUUUGUCUGUUUACCUAAACGCAGAUUCCCGGUCGGAAUAUUAUCGCUUUUUUAUGAGAAAAAUGGCAUAAAACUUGAUUUUAAACAGCGGUUGACAUGCUUCGAAGUACGGUAAUUGAAUAUUUAGAUUUUUUUUGUCACGAAUUGCGCCAUGCUCGUAACCCUUAUUUACCCUUUCGGAUAGUGUCUUGAACGCACGAACAAAACGCCGCUGUUUGGAUAUAACGAUGGAUUAUUUUGGACCAAACCAACAUUUGUUAUUGAAGUAGAAGUCCUGGGAGUACAUUCUGACGAAGACAGCAAAGGUAACAACAUUUUUCUUAUAGUAAAUCUGACUUUGAGUGCUAAACUUGCUGGGUGUCUAAAUAGCUAGCCCUGUGAUGCCGGGCUAUCUACUGAGAAUAUUUGCAAAAUGUGCUUUCACCGAAAAGCUAUUUUAAAAUCGGACAUAUCGAGUGCAUAGAGGAGUUCUGUAUCUAUAAUUCUUAAAAUAAUUGUUAUGCUUUUUGUGAACGUUUAUCGUGAGUAAUUUAGUAAAUUCACCGGCAGCGUUUGGUGGGAAUGCUAGUCACAUGCUAAUGUAAAAACCUGGUUUUUGAUAUAAAUAUGAACUUGAUUGAACAAAACAUGCAUGUAUUGUAUAACAUAAUGUCCUAGGGCUGUCAUCUGAUGAAGAUCAUCAAAGGUUAGUGCUGCAUUUAGCUGUCUUCUGGGUUUUUGUGACAUUAUAUGCUAGCUUGAAAAAUGGGUGUCUUAUUUCUGGCUGGGUACUCUGCUGACAAUCUAAUGUUUUGCUUUUGUUGUAAAGCCUUUUUGAAAUCGGACAGUGUGGUUAGAUUAACGAGAGUCUUGUCUUUAAAAUGCUGUAAAAUAGUCAUAUGUUUAAGAAAUUGAAGUAAUAGCAUUUCUAAGGUAUUUGAAAAUCGCGCCACGGGAUUCAACUGGCUGUUGCGUAGGUGGGACGAAUUCGUCCCGCCUAGCCCAGAGAGGUUAAGCAUAUAAUCUUAUCUUUAAACUUCUAUUAUGCUAUCCUUCCCUUGCCUUUAAGUUCCUAAUUUAUUAGCCCCCUUUUAUCUCGCCUACAACCUCACCUCCUUUCCUAAGAAUUACCCUAUAUCCCCGGGUCGCACCCUACAAGUUUACGAUCCCAGCUGGAGAUUUCAGUAUUCUUAUCUAAAAUUUUCCGACCCCAGUCGUACUCUCGUAGGUACAAACCUCGCCGGCAGCAAUUGCUUUUUCAAUUAUUCCCUAUAUCCCCGGGUCGCACCCUACAAGUGACGAUCCCAGCCGGAGAUUUCAGUAUUUUCUAGUUCUAUAUCCCCGGGUCGCACCCUACAAGUGACGAUCCCAGCCGGAGAUUUCAGUAUUUUCUAGUUCUAUAUCCCCGGGUCGCACCCUUCAAGUGACGAUCCCAGCCUGAGAUUUCAGUAUUUUCUAGUUCUAUAUCCCCGGGUCGCACCCUACAAGUGACGAUCCCAGCCUGAGAUUUCAGUAUUUUCUAGUUCUAUAUCCCCGGGUCGCACCCUACAAGUUACGAUCCCAGCCGGAGAUUUCAGUAUUCAAUUAGUCCCUAUAUCCCCGGGUCGCACCCUUCAAGUGACGAUCCCAGCCUGAGAUUUCAGUAUUUUCUACGGUCCUAAUCGUGCCCUACAGUAUCACGGAUCUUGCCGGUAGAACAAUACUCAAAGUUACCAAGGUAAUAACAACACAUUCACCAUGGGUUUGCAUGUCACAAUAAUCACUCUAUAAUAUUUCUUAUCUACUCAUAAUAAUUCAUAAUUUGGUUCACUUACAUCGAACAGGUGCUUCACGAAAUUAAUUUGGUUAAAGCCAAUAUGCAGAUCUUUAGUUAUUAUAACAAUAGGUGUCUGCUUACCUGUUUUUAGUUGUCCGGACUCUUUGUGAAACACACCGUUUCCCGAGAGAAAUGUCCAAUUGGCUGAUCAAUGCUCAGCGAAGUUGUCCUCUACCAGAACGUCGGGAUCACCAUGUUAAAGUUGCGUCAAUUCGAUUCUGGUAUCAGAACAAAAUAGUCAGCACAUAGUAACUUCUGAUUUAUUUGUACUUUAAUUAAUGCAAACACGUGUAUGGUAAAUAUGUGGUUUAUAUAUAUAUAUAUAUAUAUAUGGUCUCGCUGUUACACCACGCAGGGCAGACAGAGAAGAGAACGUCACAUCCUAUUGUUCUCUCUUAUAUACUCUGACAGUGAUAGUUCCCGCUCAAUGCUGGCCUGUCAGAGGGAGGAGGAGCGUGGUUUAAACUUGCUCAUCCUAUCGUCGGCGUGCAGGCUGGUCCCAGCCUCGUGACGCACUUCCUGUCCCCGAUUGUAGUUCUUGUCUUCAGCAGUUGACUUAUCCGUAGUUUAUAUACUUAAUAUUGUAGCAUAGCUUCCCCAGUAUAUUAUAUAGCUUAUGCAAACAAAUAGCCAGUUCAACCCUAACAACAGGCUUCCUUCUUUUCACUCUGUCGAUUAAGCUAGCAUUGUGGAGUAACUACAAUGUUGUUGAUCCAUCCUCAGUUUUCUCCUAUCAAAGCCAUUAAACUCUUAACUGUUUUAAAGUCACCAUUGUCCUCAUGGUGAAAUCCCUGAGCGGUUUCCUUCCUCUCUGGCAAAGUGAGUUAGGAAGGGUGCCUGAAUCUUUGUAGUGACUGAUUGCAUUGAUACACCAUCCAACGUGUAAUUAAUAACUUCACCAUGCUCAAAGGGAUAUUAAAUGACUGCUUUUUAUAUUUUUACCCAUCUACCAAUAGGUGCCCUUCUUUGCGAUGCAUUGGAAAACCUCCCUGGUCUUUGUGGUUGAAUCUGUGUUUGAAAUUCAAUGCUUGACUAAGGGACCUUAAAGAUAAUUGUAUGAGUGGGGUACAGAGAUGAGGUAGUCAUUCAAAAAUCAUGUUAAAUACUAUUAUUGCACACAGAGUGAGUCCAUGCAACUUAUUAUUUGACUUGUUAAGAACAUUUUUAGUCCUGAACCUAUUUAGGCUUGCCAAAACAAAGAGGUUGAAUACUUAUUGACUUAAGACAUUUCAGCUUUUCAUUUUUUAUUAACUUGUAAAAAUUCAGUUGCAUUUUUCGAUUCGAUAUUGAUAUCAUAUCGGUUCGUAGGAAAUAAAUUGCAACUGUGCGAAUGCUCACUUUUCUGUGAAAUCCAGACAACUGCUUGCGGAUUGCCCAUUGGGCCAGGUGUGUUCUGGUUGCAUAAACCUACCUAACCAGUUUGAAAACAAUGGGAAGCCCCUCCAUAGUUGAUGGCUCAUCAGCAGGCAAUUAAGUAUGCUUGACAACCUGUUUUAGUUUAAAUGUUCGUUUUUUAAAGUAUGCUUAGCACUAGCAGCCUAUGAGAAGGUCUCUGAGAGGGCUUUUUGCUUAAAACCUUAACUUCUUUCAACAAAGUAAUUGACUCUCCGACAACUCAUAUAAAACAUAGUCUCGCAUGCCAUUGAGAAAAAGCGUAUUCACAUUGCAAGACUGCUAUAGAGAACAUUCACACAUAAACACCAAAACUGCUACUGUUUUCUAAAAGGCAGAUGCUACGGAUCCGACGUUUCUGGACACCACUUCUCGGAGGUGCAAGUAAGCCUACCCAUGACAACCUUUUAAAAUGCCUACCACUUCUUGCUGAAUGAAUCCUCUCCAAUUUGUCACGAGUCAACGUAAACACACUAUUGUUUGGAGCGGCAAGCCUGAAUCCUAAUUGCCUCAUCUGACAAAACACACGUCAGUGUAUCCUCGUUUAUUUCCAUGUCAACCUCUCCAUUUACAUGUUGCUCAUCUGCUUCAGUUUUCAUAGCGCUUACGAUUUCCUCAUCUGAUAAACCUCUACCACAACCUUCUAAGUGGUAGUAUUCAUUCCCAAUACCUUGGGUGUCUGAGAUUUGAUUGGGCUGCACCACUGACAGUCCAUCAUAUGAACUCGUGGCUACAUCAGGAUGAAGAUCCGUAGCAGGUUCUUUAUCCUCAGAGGUGUGUACACUUUGCAUAUUAAGUUGGCAGUCUGAGGGUCUUCUCUGAGCAGUUGACAUUCCCUCAUUUAAACUCUCCACAUGCAAUAGAUUGUGUACCUGAGCCUCAGUUACAUUCUCUGUUUGUACCAUUUUGUUUAAUUUCACCUUGUUGUCACUAGCAAUAGAAUGUAUAAAUGUGUCACAGUCCACUUUAAGACUAAAUCAAAUCAAAUGAUAUUUGUCACAUGCUUUGUAGACAACAGGUCAAAUACAGUGAGAUGCUUACUUACGGGCCCUUCCCAACAAUGCAAAGAGAAAGAAAAUAGAGAAAUAAUAGAAAAGUAAAACAACGGCUGUAAUUUGCAGUAGCUGUACUUGAACUCAACAUUAUUCUGAGUAGUAUAGAAAAGUAGCAGAUUCUACAUCCUUUUGACUAUCUAGAGAUACGCCAACACAAUCAGUGAUACCAAUUUGUACAGAUAUCACAUGCUAGCAUUGCUCAUUUACUGUUAUUUGGUGAUUUACACAAACAAAUUCCUCACCAUAUUUACGUUUCACUGCAUUUCGCUUCCCCACUGGUGUAAAGUACUUAAGAUUAAAUUCCUUUAAAGUACUAUUGACUUUUUUUUGGUGGGGGGGGUAUCUGUACUUUACUUUACUAUUUAUAUUUUUGACUACUUUUACUUCACUACAUUCCUAAAGAAAAUAAUGUGCUUAGCAGGACAGGAAAAUGGUGCAAUUCAUGCACUUAUCAAGAGAAUAUCCCUGGUCAUCCCUACUGCCUCUGAUUUGGUGGACUCACUGAAAACACAUGCUUAGUAUGUACACUAUGUCUGUGUUGGAGUGUGCCCCUGGCUAUCCAUAAAUUAAAAAACAAUGUUGCCGUCUGUGUCACGUCCUGACCAGUAAAGGGGUAAUUUGUAAUUGUAGACUGGUCAGGGUGUGGCAGGGGGUGUUUGUUUUGGGUUUUUUGGUUCUAGGGGAUUUUGGUUCUAGUUUUCUAUAUCUAUGUUUCUUUUUCUAUGUGUGGCCAGGUAUAGCUUCCAAUCAGAGGCAGGUGUCUUUCAUUGUCUCUGAUUGGAAGCCAUACUUAGGCAGCCUGUUUUUCCUGUGUUUUUGUGGGUGGUUGUUUUCGGUAUAGCCUAUAUGCCUUACAGAACUGUUUAUUGUCGGUUUGUUAUGUUUGUUUAAGUGUUCACUUUAUUUCAUAAUAAAAGCAGAUGAGCACUUUACCCGCUGCGUUUUGGUCCCCCUUCAUCGACACCUGUGACAGUCUGGUUUGCCUAAUAUAAGGAAUUUUCAAUGAGUUUUAUUUUAG